GAUGAACGCUGGCGGCGUGCUUAACACAUGCAAGUCGAACGGAAAGGCCCUGCUAUUGUGGGGUGCUCGAGUGGCGAACGGGUGAGUAACAGGUGAGUAACCUGCCCUUGACUUUGGGAUAACUUCAGGAAACUGGGGCUAAUACCGGAUAGGAGCCCCCGCUGCAUGGUGGGGGGUGGAACGUUUCGGCGGGUGGGGAUGGACUCGCGGCUUAUGAGCUUGCUGGUGGGGUAGUGGCUUACCCAGGAAUUGACGGGUACCCGGCCUGAGAGGGGGGCCGGCCACAUGGGGACUAAGGUACGGCGCAGACUCCUACGGGAGACAGCAGUGGCGAAUAUUGCACAGUGGGAGCAAGCCUGUUGCAGCAACGCCGCGUGCGGGAUGACGGCCUUCGGGUUGAAAACCGCUUUCGCCUGUGACGAAGCGUGAGUGACGGUAAUGGGUAAAGAAGCACCGGCUAACUACGUG
rnacentral:rRNA from 1 species